GCGUACACGGUGGAUGCCCUGGCAGUCAGAGGCGAUGAAGGACGUGCUAAUCUGCGAUAAGCGUCGGUGAGGUGAUAUGAACCGUUAUAACCGGCGAUUUCCGAAUGGGGAAACCCAGUGUGUUUCGACACACUAUCAUUAACUGAAUCCAUAGGUUAAUGAGGCGAACCGGGGGAACUGAAACAUCUAAGUACCCCGAGGAAAAGAAAUCAACCGAGAUUCCCCCAGUAGCGGCGAGCGAACGGGGAGGAGCCCAGAGCCUGAAUCAGUGUGUGUGUUAGUGGAAGCGUCUGGAAAGGCGUGCGAUACAGGGUGACAGCCCCGUACACAAAAAUGCACAUAUUGUGAGCUCGAUGAGUAGGGCGGGACACGUGGUAUCCUGUCUGAAUAUGGGGGGACCAUCCUCCAAGGCUAAAUACUCCUGACUGACCGAUAGUGAACCAGUACCGUGAGGGAAAGGCGAAAAGAACCCCGGCGAGGGGAGUGAAAAAGAACCUGAAACCGUGUACGUACAAGCAGUGGGAGCCUCUUUAUGGGGUGACUGCGUACCUUUUGUAUAAUGGGUCAGCGACUUAUAUUCUGUAGCAAGGUUAACCGAAUAGGGGAGCCGAAGGGAAACCGAGUCUUAACUGGGCGUUAAGUUGCAGGGUAUAGACCCGAAACCCGGUGAUCUAGCCAUGGGCAGGUUGAAGGUUGGGUAACACUAACUGGAGGACCGAACCGACUAAUGUUGAAAAAUUAGCGGAUGACUUGUGGCUGGGGGUGAAAGGCCAAUCAAACCGGGAGAUAGCUGGUUCUCCCCGAAAGCUAUUUAGGUAGCGCCUCGUGAAUUCAUCUCCGGGGGUAGAGCACUGUUUCGGCAAGGGGGUCAUCCCGACUUACCAACCCGAUGCAAACUGCGAAUACCGGAGAAUGUUAUCACGGGAGACACACGGCGGGUGCUAACGUCCGUCGUGAAGAGGGAAACAACCCAGACCGCCAGCUAAGGUCCCAAAGUCAUGGUUAAGUGGGAAACGAUGUGGGAAGGCCCAGACAGCCAGGAUGUUGGCUUAGAAGCAGCCAUCAUUUAAAGAAAGCGUAAUAGCUCACUGGUCGAGUCGGCCUGCGCGGAAGAUGUAACGGGGCUAAACCAUGCACCGAAGCUGCGGCAGCGACACUAUGUGUUGUUGGGUAGGGGAGCGUUCUGUAAGCCUGUGAAGGUGGCCUGUGAGGGUUGCUGGAGGUAUCAGAAGUGCGAAUGCUGACAUAAGUAACGAUAAAGCGGGUGAAAAGCCCGCUCGCCGGAAGACCAAGGGUUCCUGUCCAACGUUAAUCGGGGCAGGGUGAGUCGACCCCUAAGGCGAGGCCGAAAGGCGUAGUCGAUGGGAAACAGGUUAAUAUUCCUGUACUUGGUGUUACUGCGAAGGGGGGACGGAGAAGGCUAUGUUGGCCGGGCGACGGUUGUCCCGGUUUAAGCGUGUAGGCUGGUUUUCCAGGCAAAUCCGGAAAACCAAGGCUGAGGCGUGAUGACGAGGCACUACGGUGCUGAAGCGACAAAUGCCCUGCUUCCAGGAAAAGCCUCUAAGCAUCAGGUAACAUCAAAUCGUACCCCAAACCGACACAGGUGGUCAGGUAGAGAAUACCAAGGCGCUUGAGAGAACUCGGGUGAAGGAACUAGGCAAAAUGGUGCCGUAACUUCGGGAGAAGGCACGCUGAUAUGUAGGUGAAGCGACUUGCUCGUGGAGCUGAAAUCAGUCGAAGAUACCAGCUGGCUGCAACUGUUUAUUAAAAACACAGCACUGUGCAAACACGAAAGUGGACGUAUACGGUGUGACGCCUGCCCGGUGCCGGAAGGUUAAUUGAUGGGGUUAGCGGUAACGCGAAGCUCUUGAUCGAAGCCCCGGUAAACGGCGGCCGUAACUAUAACGGUCCUAAGGUAGCGAAAUUCCUUGUCGGGUAAGUUCCGACCUGCACGAAUGGCGUAAUGAUGGCCAGGCUGUCUCCACCCGAGACUCAGUGAAAUUGAACUCGCUGUGAAGAUGCAGUGUACCCGCGGCAAGACGGAAAGACCCCGUGAACCUUUACUAUAGCUUGACACUGAACAUUGAGCCUUGAUGUGUAGGAUAGGUGGGAGGCUUUGAAGUGUGGACGCCAGUCUGCAUGGAGCCGACCUUGAAAUACCACCCUUUAAUGUUUGAUGUUCUAACGUUGGCCCGUAAUCCGGGUUGCGGACAGUGUCUGGUGGGUAGUUUGACUGGGGCGGUCUCCUCCUAAAGAGUAACGGAGGAGCACGAAGGUUGGCUAAUCCUGGUCGGACAUCAGGAGGUUAGUGCAAUGGCAUAAGCCAGCUUGACUGCGAGCGUGACGGCGCGAGCAGGUGCGAAAGCAGGUCAUAGUGAUCCGGUGGUUCUGAAUGGAAGGGCCAUCGCUCAACGGAUAAAAGGUACUCCGGGGAUAACAGGCUGAUACCGCCCAAGAGUUCAUAUCGACGGCGGUGUUUGGCACCUCGAUGUCGGCUCAUCACAUCCUGGGGCUGAAGUAGGUCCCAAGGGUAUGGCUGUUCGCCAUUUAAAGUGGUACGCGAGCUGGGUUUAGAACGUCGUGAGACAGUUCGGUCCCUAUCUGCCGUGGGCGCUGGAGAACUGAGGGGGGCUGCUCCUAGUACGAGAGGACCGGAGUGGACGCAUCACUGGUGUUCGGGUUGUCAUGCCAAUGGCACUGCCCGGUAGCUAAAUGCGGAAGAGAUAAGUGCUGAAAGCAUCUAAGCACGAAACUUGCCCCGAGAUGAGUUCUCCCUGAGACUUAGAGUCUCCUGAAGGAACGUUGAAGACGACGACGUUGAUAGGCCGGGUGUGUAAGCGCAGCGAUGCGUUGAGCUAACCGGUACUAAUGAACCGUGAGGCUUAACCUU
rnacentral:rRNA from 2 species